rnacentral:rRNA from 1 species
GAUGAACGCUGGCGGCGUGCUUAACACAUGCAAGUCGAACGGAAAGGCUCCUGCUUGCAGGGGUACUCGAGUGGCGAACGGGUGAGUAACACGUGGGUGAUCUGCCCUGCACUUCGGGAUAAGCCUGGGAAACUGGGUCUAAUACCGGAUAGGACGAUGGUUUGGAUGCCAUUGUGGAAAGUUUUUUCGGUGUGGGAUGAGCUCGCGGCCUAUCAGCUUGUUGGUGGGGUAAUGGCCUACCAAGGCGUCGACGGGUAGCCGGCCUGAGAGGGUGUACGGCCACAUUGGGACUGAGAUACGGCCCAGACUCCUACGGGAGGCAGCAGUGGGGAAUAUUGCACAAUGGGCGCAAGCCUGAUGCAGCGACGCCGCGUGGGGGAUGACGGCCUUCGGGUUGUAAAAUCCUUUCGCUAGGGACGAAGCGCAAGUGACGGUACCUGGAGAAGAAGCACCGGCUAACUACGUG